UACGGGGGGGGCAAGCGUUGUUUGGAAUUACUGGGCGUAAAGGGCUCGUAGGCGGCCAACUAAGUCAGACGUGAAAUCCCUCGGCUUAACCGGGGAACUGCAUCUGAUACUGGAUGGCUUGAGUUCGGGAGAGGGAUGCGGAAUUCCAGGUGUAGCGGUGAAAUGCGUAGAUAUCUGGAGGAACACCGGUGGCGAAGGCGGCAUCCUGGACCGACACUGACGCUGAGGAGCGAAAGCCAGGGGAGCAAACAGG
rnacentral:rRNA from 1 species